rnacentral:rRNA from 1 species
AUUGAACGCUGGCGGCAGGCUUCACACAUGCAAGUCGAACGAGUGGCGGACGGGUGAGUAAUGCUUGGGAAUCUGGCUUAUGGAGGGGGAUAACGACGGGAAACUGUCGCUAAUACCGCGUACCAUAGGCUUAGCCCAAAUGGGAUUGGCUAGUUGGUGGGGUAAUGGCCUCCCUAGCCGACGAUCCCUAGCUGGUCUGAGAGGAUGACCAGCCACACCGGAACUGAGAGACGGUCCAGACUCCGACGGGAGGCAGCAGUGGGGAAUAUUGCACAAUGGGGGCAAGCCUGAUGCAGCCAUGCCGCGUGUAUGAAGAAGGCCUGCGGGUUGUAAAGUACUUUCAGUGUGGAGGCGUUACCCACAGAAGAAGCACCGGCUAACUCCGUGCCAGCAGCCGCGGUAAUAC